rnacentral:pre_miRNA from 1 species
AUAACAACAUUUGGACCGUCGGUCUACCGAGCAAUAUCACCCGCUCGGUGGAUGAUCUUCCCUCCGUCGUUAAAC